rnacentral:lncRNA from 1 species
AGUUUCUGAUUUAUUUUCAUCCUUUUUAAUUUUCCUUCUCCUCAUUAGGGCUGUGAAUCCCCUCUCUGGGAACCUGGAACUUCCUAUGCAUGAAGAAAAACUGUUUACAUGAAAGAAAGCUGUGGGGAGAGAUCAAGAACCAUGAAUUUUUUGAGAAAACCUUUGUGUCCAACACACAGCCCAUUGCAGAUCCAAGUGCAUCCACCCUACUGGGGUGAGUCUCAUGUAUAUUCAAAUUUUCCAUUGGAUGGAAAAGCACUGUACUGGUGAAGUUGAAACACUCCAUUUUUAAUAGCUAGAGAAGUAACACAGUGUCUGGGUAAUAAGUCCUAUCACACAGGCACAUCCCUGGAAAAAUCCACUCUAUUUUUACUGGGAGACCCUCUGCCAUCAAUUUGCUGCCUGACCCAAGUUCCUUAAUUUUCCCUGCAAGUAAAGUGAGAAUACAGUCCUUUUUGGGAUAAUUGUUCAUUUAUUUCAGCAAUAUGUGCUAUGAUGAGUAUUAAUAAGCUUGUCUCCAAGUGACCAAAAAAUUACUUCUUUAGUUUUUAUUAGUGAAAUAUGGCCAGUCAUACAAAAAUGUACUUCUCUGGCAUACUCUCCACUUACCAUAAUGAGGAAGUAUAUCUCAAGAAAUAUAUGGUUAGAAAUAAUGCUUUUAUGUUUUCUAUAUUUUGUUAUUUUUGCCUCAAAUCACAGCUCAGUUCAGCGUGAUCUGACAUGGUUGAAAUACUGAAACCCCCACUCCUCCAAAGCAGUGUUUAUUAUAGAAACCACAAACUUAACCUAACCUAGAGCAGCUUUUCCAGCAGUGAUAUAAUUACAGUAGUUAUUGUUGCAAUAAACCAGAUGUUCCUGAGCUGGAAUGAAAGCA